rnacentral:rRNA from 1 species
ACAGAAGAAGCACCGGCUAACUCCGUGCCAGCAGCCGCGGUAAUACGGAGGGUGCAAGCGUUAAUCGGAAUUACUGGGCGUAAAGGGUGCGUAGGUUGUUGUAUAAGUUAGCUGUGAAAUACCUGGGCUUAACCUGGGGGGGUCAGAUAAUACUGUAUGACUUGAGUAUGGCAGAGGGUAGUGGAAUUUCCGGUGUAGCGGUGAAAUGCGUAGAGAUCGGAAGGAACACCAGUGGCGAAGGCGGCCACCUGGCCUAAUACUGACACUGAGGCACGAAAGC